UACGAAGGGGGCUAGCGUUGUUCGGAAUUACUGGGCGUAAAGGGCUUGUAGGUGGCCAACUAAGUCAGACGUGAAAUCCCUCGGCUUAACCGGGGAACUGCGUCUGAUACUGGAUGGCUAGAGUGUGGGAGAGGGAUGCGGAAUUCCAGGUGUAGCGGUGAAAUGCGUAGAUAUCUGGAGGAACACCGGUGGCGAAGGCGGCAUCCUGGACCACGACUGACACUGAAAAGCGAAAGCCAGGGGAGCAAACGGG
rnacentral:rRNA from 1 species